rnacentral:lncRNA from 1 species
GAUGUGUCGACCAGUCACUAAUACUGUAGCGAAUCCGAUCCAAACCUCAGGAACACUACAAUAUGCAUUGUUAAUACACAUUUUGCAUGAUUUUUAUACUAAAUUACGUAUAGUUUAGUAUAUUACGCAAAAAUAAUAUAAUAUAUUACAAUAUAUUAUAAAAAUUAUACAAUAUAUAUACAAACGGUGUAUAUUUUACACUAUUUGUACAGAUAUUUACACCAUUUGUGUAAACGUUGCACUAUUAUGAGAGGAUAUUGCACCAUUUAGAUGUGUGAUACACAUUUUGCAUAAUUUUUAUACUAAAUUAAGUACAGUUUAGUAUAUUACGCGAAAAUAAUAUAAUAUAUUACAACAUACUAUAAAAAUUAUACAAUAUAUGUGCAAACAUUGCAUAUUUUACACUAUUUGUAUAGAUAUUUAUACCAUUUGUGUAAACGUUACACUAUUAUGAGAAGAUAUUGUACCAUUUAGACGUGUGUUGCAUUUUUUCUUUUUGAAAAAUAAAUUUUAUUGCAUAUUAAAUAAAGUGUCAAAUUUCUUGAAAAUGACAGCUGUUAAGCCAUAAUUACAUGCACCUUUCUCAUAAAACAAGAAAUCUCAUUCAAGACAAAAUAAAAAGAAUAAUGUAUAAUUAAUAAGAUGAAAGAGUGCAACAUGCUCUUUCAAAUAGUGCAAUAUCUGUAUAAGUAGUGCAACAUAUGCAUUGUUAAUACACAUUUUGCAUGAUUUUUACACUAAAUUACGUACAGUUUAGUAUAUUACGUGAAAAUAAUAUAAUAAAUUACAACAUAUUAUAAAAAUUAUACAAUUUAUGUAUAAACAAUACAUACUUUACACUAUUUGUAUAGAUAUUUAUACCAUUUGUAUAAACGUUGCACUAUUAUGAGAAUAUAUUGUACCAUUUAGAUAUGUGUUGCACUCUUUCUUUUUGAAAAAUAAAUUUUAUUGUAUAUUAAAUAAAGUGUCAAAUUUCUUGGAAUUGACAACUGCUAAGUCAUAAUUACAUGUAUCUUUCUCGUGAAACAAGGAACUUCAUUUAAGACAAAAUAAAAAAAUAAAGAAUAAUUAAUAAGAUGAAAGAGUGCAACAUUCUCUCAAAUAAUGCAACAUGCUCUUCCAAAUAGUACAAUAUCUGUAUAAGUAGUGCAACAUAUGCAAUGUUAAUAUACAUUUUAUAUGAUUUUUACACUAAAUUACGUACAGUUUAGUAUAUUACGUAAAAAUAAUAUAAUAUAUUACAAAAUAUUAUAAAAAUUAUACAAUAUAUGUACAAAUAGUGCAUAUUUUACACUAUUUGUACAGAUAUUUAUAACAUUUUUGUAAACGUUGUACUGUUAUGAGAGAAUAUUGCAAUAUUUAGAUGUGUGUUGCAUAUUUUUUUAAAAAAAUUAAAUUUUAUUGCAUAUUGAAUAAAGUGUUAAAUUUUUUAAAAAUGAAAGUUGCUAAGCCAUAAUUAUAUGUAACUUUUUCGUAAAACGAGAAACCCCAGUCAAGACAAAAUAAAAAGUAUAAAAAAUAAUUAAUAAGAUGAAAGAGUACAACAUGCUCUCAAAUAUUGCAACAUACUCUUCCAAAUAGUGCAAUAUCUGUAUAAGUAAUGCAACAUAUGUAUUGUUAAUAUACAUUUUGUAUGAUUUUUACACUAAAUUACGUACAGUUUAGUAUAUUA